GUGGGGAAUAUUGGGCAAUGGGCGAAAGCCUGACCCAGCAACGCCGCGUGAAGGAAGAAGGUUUUCGGAUCGUAAACUUCUAUCCUUGGUGAAGAUAAUGACGGUAGCCAAGAAGGAAGCCCCGGCUAACUACGUGCCAGCAGCCGCGGUAAUACGUAGGGGGCAAGCGUUGUCCGGAAUGAUUGGGCGUAAAGGGCGCGUAGGCGGCCCGGUAAGUCUGAAGUGAAAGUCCUGCUUUUAAGGUGGGAAUUGCUUUGGAUACUGUCGGGCUUGAGUGCAGGAGAGGUAAGCGGAAGUCCCGGUGUAGCGGUGAAAUGCGUAGAGAUCGGGAGGAACACCAGUGGCGAAGGCGGCUUACUGGACUGUAACUGACGCUGAGGCGCGAAAGUGUGGGGAGCAAACAGGAUUAGAAACCCGGGUAGUCC
rnacentral:rRNA from 1 species